UGAGACAAUAUCCACCGCUCAGAACAGCACUGGGCACAUAGUAAAUGCUGCUCCAGUGUUAGCUCUUCUUAUUAUUUUACAAUAGACCCCUUCACCCUCUCUUUGGAGAAAAAGGAGAAACAGAAUUGAAAGUAAUGAGGAGAUGGAGGGAGUUUCACAGAAGUAACUCCUCAGGACGCAGAGGGGAGAUUGAAUCAUUUUCUCUUCACUAUGUAUCACUCAAAAUAUAAACUCAGAAUCUAAUGCCUGGAGAGAAGCCAGGAUGCUGUUUGGAUAAAGAGGUUGGACACAUGACCAAGAAAGAGGAGAACCUGAAGAAGGAACCAGCUUAUUCAUAAAUUCCAAGGAAAACACCAAGUAGGGACCCCAGAGACUCAAAAAUUUUCUUACUCGAUGUGAAGGGCAUCAGGAAAGAAUCAAGUUUCUGCCAUAAGGCCAGGUCCUUUUUUGCUGACUUUAAUUCAUUCUUCACAACAACUCUGAAAUGUAAUGAAACUGAAUCAGAGUGAAGGGAAGAAACCAGCCACCCUCACACGGCCAGAAACAGACACAGGAGGAACGAGAGGCCCAGCUGGAAAUGCACGGGACUCAGAGCUUCUGCAGAUCUUGUCUUCCCCAUGCAAUGCAUCACAACAUCACAGAGAUGGAGGGGGCUUGCCCUCACUCAGCUCAGAGUUCCUCAGAAGGUGGGACCAAAGGAAACUUAGGUGGUACACAGAUGAGCCUUAAAGAAAAUUAAUAAUUAAGUUUCUUGUAAUCCACACUAGAAAAAAAAAUGACUUACACACCAAUUAUUUUGCAUAGUAUGUUUAGAGCGAGGACAAAAUUUUUAACUAAGCCAAUUGAAAGAAACAUAUUU